UACGGGGGGGGCAAGCGUUGUUCGGAAUUACUGGGCGUAAAGGGCUUGUAGGUGGCCAACUAAGUCAGACGUGAAAUCCCUCGGCUUAACCGGGGAACUGCGUCUGAUACUGGAUGGCUUGAGUGUGGGAGAGGGAUGCGGAAUUCCAGGUGUAGCGGUGAAAUGCGUAGAUAUCUGGAGGAACACCGGUGGCGAAGGCGGCGUUCUGGACUGCAACUGACACUGAGGAACGAAAGCCAGGGGAGCAAACGGG
rnacentral:rRNA from 1 species